rnacentral:rRNA from 1 species
CCUACGGGGGGCAGCAGUGGGGAAUAUUGCACAAUGGGGGGAACCCUGAUGCAGCGACGCCGCGUGAGUGAAGAAGUAUUUCGGUAUGUAAAGCUCUAUCAGCAGGGAAGAAGAUGACGGUACCUGACUAAGAAGCCCCGGCUAACUACGUGCCAGCAGCUGCGGUAAUACGUAGGGGGCAAGCGUUAUCCGGAUUUAUUGGGUUUAAAGGGUGCGUAGGCGGAGUGUCAAGUCAGCGGUAAAAUUUCGGGGCUCAACCCCGUCGUGCCGUUGAAACUGACGCCCUUGAGUGAGUGAGAAGUAAG